rnacentral:rRNA from 1 species
GGGGAAUAUUGCACAAUGGGGGAAACCCUGAUGCAGCGACGCCGCGUGAGCGAAGAAGUAUUUCGGUAUGUAAAGCUCUAUCAGCAGGGAAGAAAAAAAUGACGGUACCUGACUAAGAAGCCCCGGCUAACUACGUGCCAGCAGCCGCGGUAAUACGUAGGGGGCAAGCGUUAUCCGGAUUUACUGGGUGUAAAGGGAGCGCAGGCGGUGCGGCAAGUCUGAUGUGAAAGCCCGGGGCUCAACCCCGGGACUGCAUUGGAAACUGUCGUACUUGAGUAUCGGAGAGGUAAGUGGAAUUCCUAGUGUAGCGGUGAAAUGCGUAGAUAUCGGGAGGAACACCAGUGGCGAAGGCGGCCUACUGGGCACCAACUGACGCUGAGGCUCGAAAGUGUGGGUAGCAUACAGGAUUAGAUACCCUGGUAGUCCACACCGUAAACGAUGAUUACUAGGUGUUGGAGGAUUGACCCCUUCAGUGCCGCAGUUAACACAAUAAGUAAUCCACCUGGGGAGUACGACCGCAAGGUUGAAACUCAAAGGAAUUGACGGGGGCCCGCACAAGCAGUGGAGUAUGUGGAUUAAUUCGAAGCAACGCGAAGAACCUUACCAAGUCUUGACAUCCCGGUGACAGAACAUGUAAUGUGUUUUCCCUUCGGGGCACCGGUGACAGGUGGUGCAUGGUUGUCGUCAGCUCGUGUCGUGAGAUGUUGGGUUAAGUCCCGCAACGAGCACAACCCUUAUCCCCAGUAGCCAGCAUUUCGGAUGGGCACUCUGUGGAGACUGCCAGGGACAACCUGGAGGAAGGUGGGGAUGACGUCAAAUCAUCAUGCCCCUUAUGACUUGGGCUACACACGUGCUACAAUGGCGUAAACAAAGGGAAGCGAGACCGCGAGGUGGAGCAAAUCCCAAAAAUAACGUCCCAGUUCGGAUUGUAGUCUGCAACUCGACUACAUGAAGCUGGAAUCGCUAGUAAUCGCAGAUCAGAAUGCUGCGGUGAAUACGUUCCCG